GAUGAACGCUGGCGGCGUGCCUAAUACAUGCAAGUCGAGCGAACGGACGAGAAGCUUGCUUUUCUGAUGUUAGCGGCGGACGGGUGAGUAACACGUGGAUAACCUACCUAUAAGACUGGGAUAACUUCGGGAAACCGGAGCUAAUACCGGAUAAUAUUUUGAACCGCAUGGUUCAAAAGUGAAAGGCGGUCUUGCUGUCACUUAUCGAUGGAUCCGCGCUGCAUUAGCUAGUUGGUAAGGUAACGGCUUACCAAGGCAACGAUGCAUAGCCGACCUGAGAGGGUGAUCGGCCACACUGGAACUGAGACACGGUCCAGACUCCUACGGGAGGCAGCAGUAGGGAAUCUUCCGCAAUGGGCGAAAGCCUGACGGAGCAGCGCCGCGUGAGUGCUGAAGGUCUUCGGAUCGUAAAACUGUGUUAUUAGGGAAGAACAUAUGUGUAAGUAACUGUGCACAUCUUGACGGUACCUAAUCAGAAAGCCACGGCUAACUACGUG
rnacentral:rRNA from 1 species